GAUGAACGCUGGCGGCGUGCCUAAUACAUGCAAGUCGAGCGAACAGACGAGGAGCUUGCUCCUCUGACGUUAGCGGCGGACGGGUGAGUAACACGUGGAUAACCUACCUAUAAGACUGGGAUAACUUCGGGAAACCGGAGCUAAUACCGGAUAAUAUAUUGAACCGCAUGGUUCAAUAGUGAAAGACGGUUUUGCUGUCACUUAUAGAUGGAUCCGCGCCGCAUUAGCUAGUUGGUAAGGUAACGGCUUACCAAGGCGACGAUGCGUAGCCGACCUGAGGGGGGGAUGGGCCACAAUGGAACUGAGGAGGGGUCCAGACCCCAAGGGGAGGAGGGAGUGGGGAAUGUGCCGAAAUGGGCGAAAGGCUGAAGGAGAACGGCGGGGGGAGUGAUGAAGGUUUUGGAACGGUAAAACUUUUUUUUUAGGGAAAAAAAAAUGUGGAAGUAAAUAGGCAGGUUUGGAGGGACCCUAAGAAGAAAGCCACGGUUACUCUGUG
rnacentral:rRNA from 1 species